CCAACAACAUUUCCGACCGUAGUAUCUCGCAACAAAAUCUGAAACAGAACGCAGUCAGCCAGCCACCACCACCACCACAUGCAUAUAUAGAGAUGGUGGCUAAAUGGUGCGCCCCGGUCGAUUCCACCGUUUACCUCUUUUUCCAACACGCACGCAGCAGCACACGCGCUCAUUCUCUUAUGUGCAUAAUCGGGGUUCCCUUUCUGCGAGGUCACUUCCGCUUGCACACGCGAUCGCGCACAGAUCGGAUCUUGCAUUGUAUCAAACAGUCAUUGUGUGCGUGAGAUAGAGAAUGAGUGAAAGAGAGGGAGAGGGAGAGGGAGAGAGAGAAAAAGGCAGCACUGUCGCAAGACAUUCACGGUCUUCAACGUUUGGUACCCCGGCACGCUACUGUAGGUGAACAUGAUCGAUGAAGCAUUGCCGCAGACGACCCACGUGAGACCCACGGCGGCACCACGGCCAACGAGUAAUUGUAUUGCCUGCCUGUUUAGAUUGGAAUCGAAUUACUGUGUCGAAUGUACAACAAACAUUGAGGAUUUUGGAGCUGAAAUUAACUACUAGAUGGAGAGCGAAAGGACAAAUCUACAAGUGUCAAGUCCUUGUCUUUAGGUCUCCAAGUCACGAGGAAGGUAAGUUUCACUAAUAUUCACCGGGUUCUCUAACCAAGGCAGUUCGUCAGGCCGCCGGGUGAUCCUUACAUCAAGACGGAACCGUCGAGAAGGAUACACGCGGAAAAGCUCACAGGUGUCGAGAGCCCUUGGCCUCCAGACUAAGUUAAGACUUUCCGGACGACGAGCCAUACUUUUUGAUUAACGAAGAAGGACCACAGGACAGGGCCAGUGUGAGGAAUUAAGCAACGAUAUAUUUGGCUUGUCUGUUACAGUUGAUGUUGGAUAAUGCUCCUAGUCGUCCCAUAUCUCACACAAAGCGUAACGUUUUGUCCAGUCCCAUCUGGACAUAACUAGAUCAUAAGACUAGAUCUAGAAAAAAGAAUACUUGAAACAUCAUCAGCCAUCAGCACACUCUUAUAUGCUGAAGAUACUAAUAUCUUUAUCGUAAAUUGAUAAAUGGCUUAAAGUUCCUAAAUUACGUGAAAAAAUGUCUCAAUAUUCUUCACAAGGUGAAGGUACUAUAACGAAUUAGUCCUUGGUUCUUUCUAAAUAUUAAGCCAGAAAGCUGUAAUUUAUUAUUAUCAUUAUAUCAUUAAAUCAUUGUUAUGAAUUUCGAUCAAUGGACAUUGAGGGCGUCUUCGUAAGCCUUCAAAAUCGAAAUAAAGCUCGAGUAGAGCGCAAAAAGGCAGAGAACCUGCAGAACCUCAUUGUUUAAUUUAUGUACAUCUAUUGUAGCAACAGCCAGCCAGGUUGGUUGUGUACCUUUAGUACACGAGCCGUAAUCUUCGCAUUAAGGGCAAAAGCAUUAACAUCAAGCUAUUUGGGGUGAUGGUACCCGCAUCAGAACGGUUGCACCAAAAACCGUACCAAACCAACAACGGAGGACCCACCACUGGCCUCAUUCAUCAGACCCAGAGUUUGAGUUUAUUGUUUCCUUCUUCGCAGUCAGCUACAAAAGCACACCUCACCUCGGAGGUACCAAAAAAAAAAAAAGGUGCGGACUCACGCCCCUUUACACGGAUGCAAAUGAAGAACUUUCUCUUUUACGAACCUUGCUCAGCCCGGCGGCGGCAGGUUGAAGGUGAGCAGCAGCAGCAGCUGCGGUGAGCAACCGCCAAGCCAAGUCAAGCUCAUCCGCUCACUCACGGCGAGAAAGUUCCACUUCCAGGCCGGUCAGUGCGUGAAAAAUGCAUUAAUUGCAACGAUGUGUGCGUGUGCGUGUGUGCACGCGCUCAUUAGCAACCGCUAAGUGUAUGUCGUUACGUAUUAAAGUAAAAAUUUAAUCAUCGUAACAGAUCGAGGAAACAAACGCACACAACUAAUUCACAUACCGAAGGGCGGGGUAAAUCCAGUGCGCGCUGCGGGGUGGAGGAGGG